GGGCCACAUCUAUGGCAUAUGAAGUUCCCACGUUAGGUGUCAAACUGGAGCGACAGCUGCCAGCCACAGCCACAGCAAUGUGGGUUCCAAGCCAUGUUAGCUACCCACACCAUAGCUCAGGGCAACGCUGGAUCCUUAACCUACUGGGCAAGGCCAAGGAUCGAACCCACGUCCUCACGGUUACUAGUCAGAUUCAUUUCUGCUGAGCCACGAUGGGAACUCCUAGGAUUAUUGUUUUUAAGCUACAAUUUAAUACACGUUCGAAUUACAUGGCAAAAACCCUCCCUUAGAAGAAUGGCCAAGCAGUUUUGACUCCAAAAUCUCUCAUGAAAAGAGCUGUCUGAUGACUGUCCUCUUUCCCAUCGCAACACGGCCAUUUCCAAAGCUGAAGCAUCCUCACGACACGCCUUUGAAAGCAGCUGAAUCGCAAAGAGAACAGAGUCUACAUCAUAAAUAAAUGAGCCGCUUUGUAUUUUCUGAAACUGAUUUCUUCCCCUACCUCCUUGAACUCAGCGGAAACAUCCUGAGCCAUUUAACUAGAGCCAUAAAAUGCAACUUAUGGUCAAUGGUGUACAUUCAAAAAAUCACAUCAUUUCUCCACUAUAAUCGCAUUUUAAAGUAAGGAUUCACUGGCUUCCCACGGAAGAUGAUGAUGCUGGAAGAAAGAGGGGCCUCAUGUAUAUGAAGACUCAAUGUUAGCAUCCACUUCUGCUCUCGUUCCACACGGAGAACAAAACCUUGAACAACCAAUUUCACAGACUGGUUUUCUAAUAACAUACAAUGAAACUAGGGAAUAUACUCAGUUCCUCAGCACACAUUUUUUAAAAGUAGCCAUACAAUUGUGAUCGUGCCCACUGUUCCUCUCAUUCUAGAAGCCUGAAUUCAGUAUUUCCAGGAAUAGCUUCCAGAGCCACAAUUUUCAACUACAGUAAUAGUGAGUCUCCUCCGUUACAUAAUCAGAUCACGCUCAUGUUUUAAACUCAUUUUGGUCAAUGUUUUUAUGUAACUUUACAAUGUGUUCAAGACAUGCUUUUCGGAAUCUCUUCCCAUAUUCUGCCUUCUUGGUUACAUAGCAUUAGAGAAAAAGGUAGAAUAUUUCUUAGGUAGGAAAUAUUUUCUGAAUUCUAUGUCAUUUCCAUCCAUUUUUCUUUCCUGUGCUUAGAGCAAAAGAUUCUUGGUCCCUAGAUGGUCUUGCAGGAAAUAUUUUAUGUGUUUGUGCAUAGGGGCAUUUCUAAUGAAGAGGAUCCAAAGCUUUCACCAUAUAUAUUUUUUUUUGGGGGGGGGGCUACCAUGUGCAGCUGCUUUAUGUGGGACCUCAUUUCCCAGACUAGGGACUGAACCCAGGCCAAAGCUGUGAAAGCACUGAGUCCUGACACUAGACCACCAGGAAUUCCCCACCACUUCCUUAAUGGAGAGCAGGACACACAAAAAACUAAAGAACUACCAAUGCUAUAAAGGUUUAUUAAAUUAAGAGUCAUAGAGUCAUGAACUAGUCAUCAUGUAAAAGGACUGAACGUCUUAGCGACAAUCAAGUUCAACACCUUCAUUCUAGAGGUGGGACAGUGGAAGCUCAGAGCAGUUAAGUCAAUGUCGAGGAAGUUUUCUCCAACACCUUACCUUACCAAAAUAAAAAGAAAGCGAGUGGCAAUCGAAGCUUCUUUGGCUAUUUAAACAUGCCUACCUUCAACCUUAAAUUCUAACUCAGGUAUUUAGAGAAAAGAGGAAGUGUCGUCAAGAUGGUGAUUAUGAAAAUUACUGGAGGAUAUGGAACUAAAAAAUGUUGUUAAGUUGAAAAAGAAUGAUAACUUUUUUUUUUCUUCACCUAUACAUUUCACUGGUAUCACCCUGUUUUUCCAAUGAUUUCUUUGGGAAGGGAGCCACCAUGCAGACUUGGGUAAAACAAGCUAAGUCUUGAAGGAUGAAGAGGAAUCAGAGAGGAGGGAGGGCAAGAUAUUGGGAGCGAACAUUCCACCCUGAGUCAGGACACGAAGGAAUUAAAAACAGGAACCUCUGGGUAUAAGUUAAAAGGGUAAGUAAAGUUCAGGGAGUGGGAACACUUAGUUGUCGAGAAAAGAAAGAGACAUGCAUUGUGCCUAUUUGCACAGGGCUUGGAGCAUAGCAGGCUCCUAAAGACUCAUUUAUGUCUCUACAGCACUUACGAUGAUGCCAUCAGGGGUGGAGUCUUUGGGAGGCGAUUAGGUCAUGAGAGUGGAACCUUCAAAAAACGGUAUCAGUGCUCUUACAAAGGAGGUCCCACGGAAGUCCGUAGUCCCUUCCGCCCUGUGAGGACACAAUGAGGGGUCUACAACUUAGAAGAAAGCACUCACUCAGACAUGCUGGCACCCUGAUCCGGGAUGUCCAGCCUCCACAACUAUGAGAAAUCAAUUUCUGUUGCUCAUAAGCUGCUCCAUCUGGUAUUUUGUUAUAGUGGCCUGAAGGGACAAAGACAAUGGUAUGAUGGUCACAGAGCCUUCCUGGACCUUCUAGGUCAUUUCAUCCUUCUGGUACAUCUUUACAGCAUGAAUGAUAUCUUGCUGUAACUAUUAGGUAUUUACAUGGCUAAUUUCUAGAAUUUGGGGUUGUUGUUUAGACAUAAUCUAAUCUCAUCUCUGAAUGUUUGCUAAUAUAGUCCUUUACUUAAAACCAUCUCGUUGGCAUGGUCUCAAUGUUUAUAUUCCCCCAACAUGUGCAUGUUGAAAUUACAGCCCCUAAAGAUGACGGUAUUAGGAGUGGAGUCUUUGGGAGGUGAUGAGGUCAUGAGAGUGGAACCUUCAAAAAAUGGUAUCAGUGCUCUUAUAAAAGAGGUCCUGUAUCUACCAAGCAUCAUGUUCUGGGGUGUGCCAGUGAUACCACAGUGAAUAAGCUGCAGUCUCUGCCUCAGUCAGAGGGCCAAAAAGUAAGAGAUUUAAGAAAUACGCAGGUACAAUGAAGACUACAGAGCUAGUCCUGGGAGAGAACAGCUAUUUCAACUUCCUGGUGUUCAUAGUCCUACUAGAUGAAAGUUUCCUGUAUUUAUAAAUUUAAAUUGAAAAGAUGAAGAACACAUAAAAGAAGCACACACUAAAGAGAUUUAGCUCUUUGAUCUUUGAAAGAGAUGGUCAACCCGGUGGAGAAAAACAUCAAGAGCAUUCUGCAGGGUAGGGAUAACAGGAAGGGGGUCAGAGAAUGAGGAGUGACCAGAUUCGAGGGAAAGGAAGUAGGCAUUAGCAAAACACGGGGCCAGAUGCAGGCAGAUUAUGUGCACUAAUGUCUGGCAGAGCAAGCUGAGGGUUCAAAGAUUGAGGCACAUUGGAAAACUGGGACUCUGGUGAAAGAUGUGCAAAAUCUGCUAAGGUCACCAAAGCAUGGCCUAUUUUAGCUCACCUUCUAUGGAAACAUCCAUUAAGUUAAUAUUUAUUUGCUCAGCAAAGUUGCUCAUGACUUCUCUUAGUCUUUCCCUUGUGGCCCACCCCCUCCCCAAAUUUAAAAAUACUUGGAUGGCUUCUGCUAUAGCCUGAGUAUUGGUGUCCUCUUAAAAUGCAUAUGUUUAAACUUAAUUCCCAAUGUGAUAGUAUGUAAAGGUGGGGCUUUGGGGAGCUAAUUAGGUCAUAAGGGUGAGGCCCUCCUGAAUGAGAUGAGUGCCCUCGUAAAAGAGACCCCAGAGAGCUCCCCUUCUCCUUCUGCCAUGCGAGGAUACAAUGAGGAUGGCCACCUAUGGACCAGAAAGAAGGCUCUCGCCCAACAGUGAAUCCGCCAGUGCCUUGAUCUUCAACUUCUUAGCCUCCAGAACUGUGAGAAAUUCAUUUCUGCUGUUGAAGUCACUCAGUCUAUGGUAUUUUGUUGUAGCAGCCCAAAUAAACUAAGAUAGCUUCUCUCUGUUUCUACCCUGUAAUGCUCCUCUGGCAUUCUGUACUCACUCUUUUUUUUUUUUGCUUUUAAACAGUGUUCAUGCUACUACUUAUUUAGUGCCCACUUUUCCCAAGAGAUUAUAGGCAUCCUAAGAACAGAGACCAUGUCUAUCUUGCCAUCCUCGGCACUGGCACAGUGCUUGCCAAAGAGCAAGGGCUCAAUACAUAUUCUGAACAAAUGAAUGAAAGAAUCCACAACCCAAAAAAUGAACAAAUGUAAAAACAAACAACACCCCAGAAAGAUGAGUGCCUUUGGUCUCAUUCUAUGAUGAGAAGAGCAUCAUUCUGAACUGUUAGCUAAUCUGACCAAGCUCACAGAGACAGUGAGCAGCAAAGCCAGCUGUAAACCCAGAAUGAUUCAGACUCUCCCAUGCAACCUUCUUCUUAUCUGGUCACACACCUUCCCUUGGGCAGCGAUGCAAGAAGAGUGAGCCACUGAGGAAAAACUAAAUUCUUAAGUGCUAUAGAGACAUAAAGGAGUCUCAUGGGAAAGGAAGACUAACCAGAAGAAAAGCUUUUAAAUACUGGUCUUAAAGAAAAUAAAUUAGAAAGUCCAGGAGCUAUAAUGGAGUAGCCAAUUCCAAGUGAGAAGAAGAGUAGGUAAGAGGGCAGUGUCAAGGGCUCUUGAAACAAGUUAAAAUGGAAAAGUAGAUGUUAAGUGUUUUGCAGUUGUGUCUUAGGACAACACAUCAAAAAACCAGCGCGACAAAAAGAGCUCUAUGUGAAAGUGUGGUUUUGAUGAAGAUGAAGAACAGCAAAGACCAAGAUGCUGUUAUAUGUGGAGUUAUUUGCUCACGUACAUCCUCCGCCUACCUUUUGCUUUCCUGCUUUAAUUCAGUCUCUGAAAACCAAUUAUACUUGAAUAGAGUGGAAACCAAGCAGUUUCUUAGAAGAUCGGAUGCCGGUUCACACGCUGACAAACCAAAUUCGGAUAGAGGCAAAGCAGCAAGGAAAUUUCAAACUAUUUUGGGUGAAGUGUUUUCUCUGGUCUUUCCUGGCUAACCCUCGCCCUGGAUAUUUGACUAAUUGGAACUCUAGAUGUCAAGCAGAAGUCUUGAGCUGUAAUUUGGCACAUCUGCUUAGAAAUGUGACUAGAAUCUCAAACGACUCGAUUGUAACAGUUGGGGAUGGUGAACACCCGUGCAAUUACAAAUGACGACGAGAGAAAUGCUAAUAAAUGUCACUUUGUUGGAAAAGAAGAAAGACAGGACCCAACUUCACACAAACAAUUAAAAGUGCCUUUGUGACCGUGAAAUGCACUAGUCUUCCAAACAUUUUUAUAGCCUUCGAUGAAACAAGAGAGUCAAAGGAUUCAGUAAACCUCUUACUUUCCGAGUGAGGCUCCUCCUCCACAGUAACACCCUGGUGUGGGUAUGAGAUACAGACGACUCCUCUCCAAGUGCUCUGCCUCAUGCAUCUUAGGAAGCUGUACAUUCUCCAAUAAUUGAUUUUCUCAAGGCUUCCCACUGGCCAAGUUCAACACAAGUUUAUAAGCCCCUUGCACGUCCACUACCCGCCUCUCAUAUCCCACACUGUCUUAUGUUAGAAGUGGACUCCCCACAAAAUGAAGCACCACAGGCAUUUCUGCUUCACAAAUAUAUUCAUUCCAGAAGAAUCCAGUGACCUACCAAUGGUUUUCUGGGUCUCCAUCCUGGGACGUGCAUACAAAAAUCAAAAUCAUCAAAGAUUUCCUGAGCAAUUGGAAGACACCCUGGAAAAAGCAUUUUAGACCAAUGAUUCCUAAAUGCAUUGGGGUCUAAAUAUGCUUGAACUGUAACAUACAUUUCCAUUAACCAUUAGUAACAAUGGCUCAAUGUUAAGGGCAUGCAGAAUCCGGUCUUGGGAGAAAGGAGACAAUGGGAGGCAAAUGCGUUUGAGAAGCAGAAGCUCAGGUAAUCUGAAUCCCUAAAUAAUUCUACUAUACAACAUACCUUCUCUGCUGAUGGCUAGCAAAUUGCAACAUUAGGCCUUGUAGCUUUCCUUCACUUCAGAUAAAUUUGAAGCAAUCUCAUUUUUAGUCUCAGACGCUUGCCUGUUUAGUAUUCAAGGCACUAAAAUCCACGGGCAAAGAAAAAGCCAACCAACCUUUAUGAAGGCCAGUGGGGAGAAGAAGCAGGGUGUGUUAAACAAGUGGCUAGAAUUCAUCUUUUACUGAUCCUCAAGGUACUGCAAAAGGAUAAACAAUUUUUUUUUUUUUAGGGACAUACCCUCAGCAUAUGGAGUUCCCAGGCUAGGAGUCGAAUCAGAGCUGUAGCCACUG
rnacentral:lncRNA from 1 species